AACUGUAAGUAUAAACAUACAUGAUCAAUUAAAUAUAUAUCUCUCACAUUUGAUAUUUUCAUAUUGAGUAUGCAAAUGUUAAAGUUUAAUAGACAAUUAAAAGAUGCAUUUUAGAUCUUGACUUCUAACUGCUUAUUCUUUAAGAAUUGGUAGAGUUAACAAUGCUAAUGUAAUUUAAUUUUAUUUGCACAGUUAUUGGAGAACCACUUUGCCAUACUUAAUUUCAUUUCAUGGAGAAAUCUUGUUUACAAUGGUCUCGAUUUUUUCUUUCUUCUUUUUUUUGUUUUUAAUAAAAAAAAAGCCAUGAUCCUUCUGGGACUCUGUGAAGUAUACCUCCUCUUCUAUUUUUAUAUGAUCUUCAGGGAGCUUUAACCUCUACUACAUAUCACUGUCAGUUUUAUAUAAAUACGUCUAUUUUGAUAACUUCAACAUGUCAUAAUCUUUUAGAGAGAGAGACAGGAAAAGCAGCAUGAUCAGUAUUAUAUGAUAUUCAUUACAUAUCACUGAUGUACAUUUAACCUUUUUAUUCCAGGGCAUUAUUCAAAUAAGUCUGUGCCAGUUCUAGGAAACCUUUGCCUUCUGAGAUAUUUUGUUUUAAUUAUUCAAGACAACAUUGCAAUUCUACCAGUGAAAUGUUUAAUUUCUUCUCUCUCUCUCUCUCUCCCUCUUUUUUUUUUUUUUUUUUUUGUUAUUGCACCCUAUCUAACAGAUGGUAGCUUGGAUAAAAGUGGGUAAAAUUGUUAUUGAUCAGAUGUGCACUGGAUUUCCUGAGUUUGCCGUUACAUAUUUCUAAAAUUCCUGAGGCUAAAGAACUAAGAGGUAGGACAAUUGCUCAAAAAUAGCAAAUGAGCCUUUCUGAAAUGAAGCAUUGAGUGAAUACUAAAAUUAUAUGUUUGUGAGUUGUUCAUAAAUCAAGAUUUCUAAUAGGAUAAAAUGAGUUUGUGGUAGAUUCUGAUUUGACAUAAUUAGUACUGAUCCAGUGUCUGGAUUUCUCUUUACUAAAAACACAUUAAGAUAUGUGUAUGUGUAUUCCAUUAGACACUAAAGAUUCUACAUUUAUAAACAAGUACCCUGCUUUCUGUUGUUUUAAAGACAUUACAUUAAUUUAAUUUACUUGAAAUCUUACAUUUCUUCUGACUUAAGUACAGGGAUUGGUCCUAAGAGCUCAAAGGAACCAAAAAAAAAAAAAGGAAAGAAGAGUAUCUCAGUUAAUAUAUCUCUUUUUCAGUGUUCAGAUUCUUCUUCCAAAGAGUUAAUGAAGCUACACACAUCCUUUAACCCUGCUGAGAGUCACUGAUCUGACCUGGCUAACCUGCAAGUUCACACAAAGGAGAUAGCUGGACAACAGCUGUUUUAUUAACAGCAGAGGAUGGUUGGUUGCAGAAGAAAGGUGGAAGGUAGGAAUUUGAACUAUUUUCUACAAGGAAAACUUUGCCAGAUUAUUUUCAACUGAUUCUAGCAAACCCCAGGGACACUGACUUGGGUGAGACGACUCAUGUGUGAUUCAGUAUGUUGUUCCAAGAAUGUAGUGUCAAUCCCCUGCUGGACACAGCCAAGUGGGUGAACAGUGAAGUCAUUAAAAAGGGAAAGAGCCUUGGAUAAUAAUAAAAAAAAGGCUCAGUUGUAAGAAACAGUAUUAGUAAAUCAGAGAAUUGGAAGACUUGGAAAUAAGUGUCAAGAAAACUGCAGACGAUGUUCAAUAAGGGAAGGACUGCACAUAUGUUGAAAGACUAACAGAAUGCAAAAUGAUCUUGACAAACUGGAAAAAAUAGUCUUAAAAGACUGUGAUAUUUAACAAAGUAAAAUGGAAGAAUCACUCCAACAAUCUACUUCAGUAGUACAGAAUGGAGAAUUGAAAAGCUAUCAGAAGUGAAAUAUUUCGGGAUUAUAAUGGCCAAUGAAAAGAAUUUUAACACAGUGGUAUUGUGCUCCAGAGCUAGAGGUGAAAAGCCUGUAGCAUAUGAAGAGGGUCAUAGUCUACAUAACAUAAAAUCUUCCCUCCUCUUAAAACUCAGUUGAAGUGGUGUGCAAGUUUGAAGCUCUGCUCUUCAUGAAAGAUGUGGAGUAGUUGCUGAGUGGAAAAAAGAGAAUUCUGAGACAAGACAUGGAUCUCUUCAGAAAGGGUACUGAUGAGAGGAAGUGAGCAAGCUUUUUUCCUCCUUGGAACUUAGUCUUAGAACACACUUUAAUUACAAUACCUUCUAGGUUAGGCCUAGCAAAAAAAUAUUACCUAAAAUCUUACCUUCCUGGAAAGUGAUGCUAUUACGGCAAGUCUUACCAGAUGACUUAUUAGAAUCUGUAAUAUCUCUUCAUCAUUAUAAACGGCAUUUUGUUAUUUUAAUUUCUGAAAUAAAAUCUGUUUUCAGAGUCUGCUAAUUUGUGUCAAGAUACCAUUUCACUCUUAAGUG